rnacentral:rRNA from 1 species
AUGCAGCUAAGGUGUGCUAGGCGAGUGGCCAAGCUUCGUGACAUUGAGGUCACUACUGGUAUGUCUGUCAAUUUUUCUAAUUCGAUUUUGCAUUUUUCCAAUGACGAGAUUGUUCACAAUGCAAAUCAAUUAGGGGUCUACCUAGGUAGAAAUGGUACUGAAAUCAAUAUAUCCGUUAAUGAUAUUCUCGAUCUCGAAGCGGAGCGCGCUUUGGAGAUGAUUCGUAACAUAGCAGUUGUUAAACCCAUGAAUGAUCAUGAUGCGUUGGGAGUUAGGACUCUUGAUAGUUUGUGUGCGGAUCUGGACCCUGAGUUGCAGGAAAAAGAGGGACUCGAUUCCCCUAUGGCCUCUAGUCAUGUAGAUGUUCCAGAGGCUAAAUCCCCAGAGCCCGGUUGUGAGGACCGGCAGAUGGAGCAGUAUAAGCCUAAGCGGAAGUGGAAACGGAAGGUUUAUCCAGCUUUGGCUGUGCGUAGAAGUGCUAGGAUCCGUACAUCUAAAAAAAAUCCAUGA